AGCGAACGUUAGCGGCGCGCCUAACACAUGCAAGUCGCACGAGAAAGGGAGCAAUCCCCGGUACAGUGGCGCACGGGUGAGUAACACGUAGAUGACCUUCCCUGGAGUGGUGGAUAACCUGCCGAAAGGCGGGCUAAUACAGCAUGGGACCACAUGGUUUUGACCGAGUGGUGAAGGCGGGCCUCUGUUCACAAGCUCGCGCUCUGGGAUGGGUCUGCGUCCCAUCAGCUAGUUGGUGAGGUAAUGGCUCACCAAGGCAUCGACGGGUAGCUGGUCUGAGAGGAUGACCAGCCACACUGGAACUGAGACACGGUCCAGACUCCUACGGGAGGCAGCAGUGGGGAAUCUUGCGCAAUGGGCGAAAGCCUGACGCAGCGACGCCGCGUGGGUGAUGAAGGCC
rnacentral:rRNA from 1 species